GGGCCUGUAGCCAAACGGUAAAGGCGGCGGCUUCAAACCCCGUAAUCUGGAGGUUCGACUCCUUCCAGGCCUACCA
rnacentral:tRNA from 1 species